AGUCUCUUUAUUGAAUCCACAAGAGAAGAAAAACUUAGAUGGAGCAGGAAAAGGAAGGCAUCUUUUCCCCUGGGUACUGUACAUUUCCACUUUCGUGAGGCACUGCUCCAUCCUUUUUCUCACAGCCACCAACUCCUUUGUCGGAUAUAAAGUUGCAGCUGUAGCUAGCUCACAUCUGAGUGUGCUUUCAGUGGGCCCAGUCCUUUGUUUCUCUGGGAAGCCAAGCCCUUAAGUUUUUUUUCGUCUUGUCUCAGUUCUUGACGUAGUCUGGAGGAGCUGAUGAGCUGUGGAAAAACCAGAACCUUUUUGUGAAAAUAUCUCAGGAAAGAUGGGGAGAACAGUGAUACUUAAAAGAUAAUGGAGAAACAAGAAGAAAGGAGCAUUCAAAUGUUUGAACCCUCUCUGUUAAUAACAAUGUUAAACAUCACAAGUACAUUUUAUGGCUACCUACUCAUGAGGGAAGGUAAAUGUGUUUUGGAAUUUCAUACCCUACUUUGCUGCUCCAGUUAUUUUAUGUUCUGGUCCCUGUGCUACCCAACAGUCUAUUAUAAUUUGUUUUAUUAUUCUAUGGCUUUUGUUGCGCGGCUUGAAAUGAAAUACAGUAUUGGAAAAAGAAAUGCAUUAAACAUACAGCGUUCAGUUAGCAUGCACUUGUUUCCCAUAUGUCUUUGUUAUCGUAUAUGGCAGUCUUUCCCCUCUGCUAUUCAGAAUCCUACAGAAAUCAAAUAUCGAUGGAAAGGAGCUAUCGAAUGCCUGCAGUAG
rnacentral:lncRNA from 1 species